rnacentral:rRNA from 1 species
CCCUUAGAUGUUCGGGGCCGCACGCGCGCUACACUGAAGGACUCAGCGUGUCUCUCCCCCUAUCCCGAAAGGGAUGGGCAACCCGUUGAACCUCCUUCGUGCUAGGGAUUGGGGUUUGCAAUUAUCCCCCAUGAACGAGGAAUUCCCAGUAAGCGCGAGUCAUAAGCUCGCGUUGAUUACGUCCCUGCCCUUUGUACACACCGCCCGUCGCUACUACCGAUUGGAUGGUUUAGUGAGAUCCUCGGAUUGGUCACGGCACGGUGGCAACACUGCGUCGGUGUGCCGAGAAGACGAUCAAACUUGAUCAUCUAGAGGAAGUAAAAGUCGUAACA